ACAGAUAAAACCGCACCACGUCUGAAGCAACCAGGAGUCCUUUUUAAUGGGAUAUUGUGAAGAAUAGACUUUACUACCUUACUGCAGACGCAACAUUACAAACUCAGUUGCCUAUACAGGUUCCCCUGGGCAGGAAAAUGGUCAGCAAGUAUGUGGUUGGUCUGGUGGCUGUAGUAGUAGGAGUAGUAGUGUUCGGGUGCGUCAUGUGCAUCUGGAUGUGCAUGUGUGUGGGAAACAAGAACCCCAUCUCACCCUCAGACCAUUUCUACUCAAAAGCUGCCGUGGCUACAGAUGCUGGGAUAUGCUCUGAGGUGGGGAGGGACAUCCUGAAGAGGAACUGCUCAGCGGUGGAUGCAUCUAUCGCCGCCCUGCUGUGUGUUGGCCUCCUGAACGCUCACAACAUGGGCAUUGGAGGGGGUCUCUUCUUCAACAUCUACAACGCUU